CCCACCAGCCCCAGGCCCAGCAGAAUGAGCCCAGUGAGUGCCGGGGCUCCCAGUUUGGCUGUUGCUAUGACAACGUGGCCACAGCAGCCGGUCCUCUUGGGGAAGGCUGUGUGGGCCAGCCCAGCCAUGCCUACCCCGUGCGGUGCCUGCUGCCCAGUGCCCAUGGCUCUUGCGCAGACUGGGCUGCCCGCUGGUACUUCGUUGCCUCUGUGGGCCAAUGUAACCGCUUCUGGUAUGGUGGCUGCCAUGGCAAUGCCAAUAACUUUGCCUCGGAGCAAGAGUGCAUGAGCAGCUGCCAGGGAUCUCUCCAUGGGCCCCGUCGUCCCCAGCUUGAGGCUUCUGGAAGGAGCACCCACACGGAUGGUGGCGGCAGCAGUCCUGCAGGCGAGCAGGAACCCAGCCAGCACAGUACAGGGGCCACGGUGCAGAGAAAGCCCUGGCCUUCUGGUGGUCUCUGGCGGCAAGACCAACAGCCUGGGCCAGGGGAGGCCCCCCACACCCAGGCCUUUGGAGAAUGGCCUUGGGGGCAGGAGCUUGGGUCCAGGGCCCCUGGACUGGGUGGAGAUGCCGGAUCACCAGCGCCACCCUUCCACAGCUCCUCCUACAGGCAGAGGACGCGGGCACCUACAGCUGUGGCAGCACCCGGCCAGGCCGCGACUCCCAGAAGAUCCAACUUCGCAUCAUAGCUCACACCUUGUUUCUCCUGG
rnacentral:sRNA from 1 species